rnacentral:rRNA from 1 species
AUUGAACGCUGGCGGCAUGCCUUACACAUGCAAGUCGAACGGUAACGCGGGGCAACCUGGCGACGAGUGGCGAACGGGUGAGUAAUGUAUCGGAACGUGCCCAGUUGUGGGGGAUAACUGCUCGAAAGAGCAGCUAAUACCGCAUACGACCUGAGGGUGAAAGCGGGGGAUCGCAAGACCUCGCGCAAUUGGAGCGGCCGAUAUCAGAUUAGGUAGUUGGUGGGGUAAAGGCCUACCAAGCCGACGAUCUGUAGCUGGUCUGAGAGGACGACCAGCCACACUGGGACUGAGACACGGCCCAGACUCCUACGGGAGGCAGCAGUGGGGAAUUUUGGACAAUGGGCGCAAGCCUGAUCCAGCCAUGCCGCGUGCGGGAAGAAGGCCUUCGGGUUGUAAACCGCUUUUGUCAGGGAAGAAAUACUCUGGGCUAAUACCCUGGGGUGAUGACGGUACCUGAAGAAUAAGCACCGGCUAACUACGUGCCAGCAGCCGCCGUAACAC